GCACACACGCUAGCUCUCUGCAACUCUCACAUAAUUGACCACUGAAGCUAAGCAGGGCUGCGCCUGGUCAGUACCUGGAUGGGAGACCACAUGGGAAAGCUCGGUUGUUGUUGGCA
rnacentral:rRNA from 1 species